CUUCUACUCCCUCCGUUUCAAAUCACUUGUCUUAAAAGUGGAUAAAAAUGGAUGUGUCUAUAACUAAAAUACGUCUAAAUACAUCCAUUUAUAUGACAAGUAAUUCCGAACAGAGGGAGUACGUG
rfam:Triticum urartu cultivar G1812 contig428800, whole genome shotgun sequence.